rnacentral:rRNA from 1 species
GACGAACGCUGGCGGCGUGCUUAACACAUGCAAGUCGAACGGAAAGGCCCUGCUUUUGUGGGGUGCUCGAGUGGCGAACGGGUGAGUAACACGUGAGUAACCUGCCCUUGACUUUGGGAUAACUUCAGGAAACUGGGGCUAAUACCGGAUAGGAGCUCCUGCUGCAUGGUGGGGGUUGGAAAGUUUCGGCGGUUGGGGAUGGACUCGCGGCUUAUCAGCUUGUUGGUGGGGUAGUGGCUUACCAAGGCUUUGACGGGUAGCCGGCCUGAGAGGGUGACCGGCCACAUUGGGACUGAGAUACGGCCCAGACUCCUACGGGAGGCAGCAGUGGGGAAUAUUGCACAAUGGGCGGAAGCCUGAUGCAGCAACGCCGCGUGCGGGAUGACGGCCUUCGGGUUGUAAACCGCUUUCGCCUGUGACGAAGCGUGAGUGACGGUAAUGGGUAAAGAAGGAGCGGCUAACUACGUG